UGCAGCAACGCCGCGUGAGGGAUGACGGCCUUCGGGUUGUAAACCUCUUUUAGUAGGGAAGAAGCGAAAGUGACGGUACCUGCAGAAAAAGCACCGGCUAACUACGUGCCAGCAGCCGCGGUAAUACGUAGGGUGCAAGCGUUGUCCGGAAUUAUUGGGCGUAAAGAGCUCGUAGGCGGUUUGUCGCGUCUGCUGUGAAAUCUGGGGGCUCAACCCCCAGCCUGCAGUGGGUACGGGCAGACUAGAGUGCGGUAGGGGAGAUUGGAAUUCCUGGUGUAGCGGUGGAAUGCGCAGAUAUCAGGAGGAACACCGAUGGCGAAGGCAGAUCUCUGGGCCGUAACUGACGCUGAGGAGCGAAAGCAUGGGGAGCGAACAGGAUUAGAUACCCUGGUAGUCCAUGCCGUAAACGUUGGGAACUAGAUGUGGGGGCCAUUCCACGGUCUCCGUGUCGCAGCUAACGCAUUAAGUUCCCCGCCUGGGGAGUACGGCCGCAAGGCUAAAACUCAAAGGAAUUGACGGGGGCCCGCACAAGCGGCGGAGCAUGCGGAUUAAUUCGAUGCAACGCGAAGAACCUUACCAAGGCUUGACAUAUACCGGAAACGUCCAGAGAUGGUCGCCCCGCAGGUCGG
rnacentral:rRNA from 1 species